rnacentral:lncRNA from 1 species
UAGCGUGAUUUAAUCUUGACGAUUUCUUUCCUUAUCUGGACAUUUCAUGGCCGUGGAGGUAAUGAACUCCUUUCCACAAAGGAUAGCUGUCUUUUAUUAUCAAUCUUCCUCAGAUCGAUUAUGAUCGACCUUGAAACAUCUUGAUUGCUAUCUGUAAGAUAAUAGUUUUGUAGGUAAGUCGGUCUGAAUUUCUAUAUUUGACUCCUUCAAAUCGGUCAAGAUUGACCUCUUACUGUUUUUGUACCCAUG